GAAGGCAUGGCUCAGUGGUGGAGCACUUGCCUAGAAAGUACAAGGCACUGAGUUUAAAUCUCAGUACCACUA
rnacentral:tRNA from 1 species